AGAUGCAGAGGGACAAGAUGUGCACCAAAGAGUCAUGGAGAAGGCAAGCGGAACCCCAUAAGAAGGUGCAGUGCAGGAUGCAGGCUCAGAGGUGCUAAGCUGCAUGCUGAUGAGCAGGCUGGGAAGGUGCCCUGUGAGCCAUCUUUGGAAGUGGAUGAGCAUUAGAGGUGAGCCGAGGCAGCAGUGAGGAGGAGCUUGGGGCUGGUGACUUCUCACAUGUGCAACAGUAAUUUUGUUUCUUGGUAUCUCAAGCAAUGAUGGCCGCAGUGUCUGACUCUGGAAUGAACAGAUGAUGAAGAGGAACCUGGUGACUACAGCAAUGUCCCAAAUUGUUGAUGUGCUGGUUUUUGUGUGUUUUUUUUUUUUUUUUUUUGUCCACAGGGGAUUUAAGACCUCCAGCCCUCUGAAAGCUGAGUGG